ensembl:lncRNA
GAGCACACACACACCUACGCAAACACACACACAAGUCAGACUUUUACGAAACACAUGCUUUCAACACACGUAUGCAGGUGCACGGGCAUGCACGCACACACACACACGUAUGGUCACACACAUGUUUCUUGUCUCUAAUGUCUCCUGUGCUGUGGCAGGGGACAAAUCAAUCAUGGGUACAGAAGUUCAAGGGGGUAAGAGAUUGUCUGGUCCGUUUUUCCCUAUGCUAUUGAUCCCAUUUUACUGGCAUCAUCGCCAAGCUGUCUCACAAACCCCGGGAUGGCGAUGGAUUGAAAGUGGAUGAUUGAGAGAGGAGGUAGGGUGACAUUCACUGUAAUCUCAGCCCUCCACCUACACCAAGCCACCCCCACCGCCUACACCAACCUCCACCUAACAUGCAGAGAAAUCCAAUGACAUUGAAAGUUAGGACUGAAGCAGGAGUUUUUGGAGCAGAUAGAAUGAGGCCCAUCAACUUAAAUCUGCGCUAUCUCGCAGUAAAGGAAACACUCUUGGCAGAGAUUAGGAGCGUUUUUUUUUAUUGUUUGUUUUGUUUUGUUUUGUUUUUCCCGUCUCUUUGCAUUUCUCCUCCAGCCAUCAUACUGUAUGUCUGACUGUCUGAAGGUGUGCUGCCAUCUCCUCUUUUUUCAAAUUGAUGAAAAAGACACUGGAGAGAGAACACCUCCUGACAGCACAUCCCAAAGUGUGUGGGAGACGUAAAAAAGAGUGACACAGAACAUUUCUCUGAAAUUUCAAAUGAGGCUCAUGUGGAAAAUAUUGAUGCAUGCUCAAUUUCCUCAUAAGUACACUCAGUGUUUCCUUAUCUCUUGUGUAUAAACAAAUGAGGGGGGAUUUUUUGCAGGAAAUGAUGGAUAGCCGUCUGGUGGUUGAGAAUCGAAAGGAAUACUGUUAAAGAGGAGAUCACGGGAUAAGCAUAUUGCACACAGAUUUUCCAAGAGAUUAUUGUUUCUGCCAGAACUGGGAAUGUUUUAUGACAGUUUUGUUUUUCUAGCAAAGUGUUGAUUCCCAUUGGUCAGAUGAGAAAGAAAGAUUGCUA